AACAGGGAUUGCGUCAGUAACGGCGAGUGAAGCGGCAAAAGCUCAAAUUUGAAAUCUGGCACCUUCGGUGUCCGAGUUGUAAUUUGAAGAAGGUAACUUUGGAGUUGGCUCUUGUCUAUGUUCCUUGGAACAGGACGUCACAGAGGGUGAGAAUCCCGUGCGAUGAGAUGUCCAACUCUAUGUAAAGUGCUUUCGAAGAGUCGAGUUGUUUGGGAAUGCAGCUCUAAGUGGGUGGUAAAUUCCAUCUAAAGCUAAAUAUUGGCGAGAGACCGAUAGCGAACAAGUACAGUGAUGGAAAGAUGAAAAGAACUUUGAAAAGAGAGUGAAAAAGUACGUGAAAUUGUUGAAAGGGAAGGGCUUGAGAUCAGACUUGGUAUUUUGCAAGCCUUACCUUCGUGGUGGGGUCCCCUGCAGUUUACUGGGCCAGCAUCGGUUUGGAUGGUAGGAUAAUGACUUGGGAAUGUGGCUUUGCUUCGGUAAAGUGUUAUAGCCCUUGUUGAUACUACCUGUCUAGACCGAGGACUGCGUCUUUGACUAGGAUGCUGGCAUAAUGAUCU
rnacentral:rRNA from 1 species